rnacentral:rRNA from 1 species
GACGAACGCUGGCGGCGUGCUUAACACAUGCAAGUCGAACGGAAAGGCCCUGCUUUUGUGGGGUGCUCGAGUGGCGAACGGGUGAGUAACACGUGAGUAACCUGCCCUUGACUUUGGGAUAACUUCAGGAAACUGGGGCUAAUACCGGAUAGGAGCUCCUGCUGCAUGUUGUGGGUUGGAAAUUUUUGGCGGUUGGGGAUGGACUCGCGGCUUCUCAGCUUGUUGGUGGGGUAGUGGCUUACCAAGGCUUUGACGGGUAGCCGGCGUGAGAGGGUGACCGGCCACAUUGGGACUGAGAUACGGCCAAGACUCAUACGGGAGGAAGCGGUGGGGAAUAUUGAAAAAUGGGCGGAGCCCGGAAGCAGGAACGCCGCGUGCGGGAUGACGGCCUUCGGGUUGUAAACCGCUUUCGCCGGUGACGAAGCGUGAGUGACGGUAAUGGGUAGAGAAGCACCGGCUAACUACGUG